rnacentral:lncRNA from 1 species
GGCAUACUACCAUCCGACCUCUUUGAGGUGUUAGUUGAAUGAGAAAUAUAUCUGAAACAAGUGGACGGUCGGCUUGGCACUGAGGAGGGGAGAGGUAAAAUCCUGAGGGAGAAGUAUUUAUUUAUAGAAGCUCAGAUGGCUCUGAUCAGAUGAUGAUUCACCUAGCUACCAUUGAUUGUUGCUAAGUAGUGGCUCAAGGAUGGGCACAACCGACUAUGCAUGGAUCCACGUCUCC